AUUGAACGCUGGCGGCAGGCCUAACACAUGCAAGUCGAACGGUAACAGGAAGAAGCUUGCUUCUUUGCUGACGAGUGGCGGACGGGUGAGUAAUGUCUGGGAAACUGCCUGAUGGAGGGGGAUAACUACUGGAAACGGUAGCUAAUACCGCAUAACGUCGCAAGACCAAAGAGGGGGACCUUCGGGCCUCUUGCCAUCGGAUGUGCCCAGAUGGGAUUAGCUAGUAGGUGGGGUAACGGCUCACCUAGGCGACGAUCCCUAGCUGGUCUGAGAGGAUGACCAGCCACACUGGAACUGAGACACGGUCCAGACUCCUACGGGAGGAAGCAGUGGGGAAUAUUGCACAAUGGGCGAAAGCCUGAUGCAGCCAUGCCGCGUGUAUGAAGAAGGCCUUCGGGUUGUAAAGUACUUUCAGCGGGGAGGAAGGGAGUAAAGUUAAUACCUUUGCUCAUUGACGUUACCCGCAGAAGAAGCACCGGCUAACUCCGUG
rnacentral:rRNA from 1 species